CUCGGGGGCAAGUCUGGUGCCAGCAGCCGCGGUAAUUCCAGCUCCAAUAGCGUAUAUUAAAGUUGUUGCAGUUAAAAAGCUCGUAGUUGAAUUUCGGGGUUCUACCGUUGGUCGGGCUUUGUCUGUACUGGCGUGUAGAAUUUCUACCUUCUGGGGAACCAUCAUGUUAUUAAUUUAGCGUGGUGGGAAACCAGGACCUUUACCUUGAAAAAAUUAGAGUGUUCAAAGCAGGCUUAUGUCUGAAUACAUUAGCAUGGAAUAAUAGAAUAGGACGGUGGUCCUGUUUUGUUGGUUUCUGAAUCACCGUAAUGAUUAAUAGGGAUAGUUGGGGGCAUUAGUAUUCAAUUGUCAGAGGUGAAAUUCUUGGAUUUAUUGAAGACUAACUUCUGCGAAAGCAUUUGCCAAGGAUGUUUUCAUUAAUCAAGAACGAAAGUUAGGGGAUCGAAGACGAUCAGAUACCGUCGUAGUCUUAACCAUAAACUAUGCCGACUAGGGAUCGGACGAUGUUAA
rnacentral:rRNA from 1 species